rnacentral:lncRNA from 1 species
AAGAAUAUAAAUAGCUAGGGUGGAGUUAUCGUAGCCUAUACUACCUAUUAAAUUAAUUAUAUUAUUUCACAUUCUUACUAUUCACUCUUAAAUUUAACAUUCAUAAUCAUAAGUACACCUGAGGUGGUCCAGUAUUUCAGUUUGUCUUAUCUUUUCAGUAUUUAUCCUAUAAAACCUAACAUCUUUUUUUUUUUGGCAUGAAGAAAAAAUAUUUUACAAAAUUAUGUAAUAGUGAACUCAAAUAUGAAAAUUUAACCUAAAAUACUAAGGACAUGAAUAGAUCAAGACACCCACAAAAUCUAACAUCUUCAAUAGUAAAUUAUUUUCUU